CCAAACCACCAUCCGAUUCCAGCAUCCACACCCAAGCAACCAACCCGCGACGCUGCAGCACCUAACACCCCAAACUGGUGCUUGAGGAAUGCCGAGGGAACACCGAGAAACAUGAUCUCAUAACUUCGAGGACUUCCUUGAGUGGCGCCUCAAGGAAGGAAGCGUGAGAGCAGUUCGAGGUCGUGCAAGGAGCAGGGAACAAGUUAACCCACUGGAGUAAGCUGAGCACCGCCGCCACGCCCACGCCCACGCCACCCUUCCCUCAACCCGAAAACCUUUGUCCCUAUUCUUAGACGCUUUCUUUUCACACAACAAGUAUUUCCAAAGGGCACAAGGGUGAUUAGUCGGGGUUCUCAUGAGUGUUUUCAAAUUUAAACUAUCAUUAGGCUCAACACCAUCCAUGAAAAUACCUACAACAUCUACGAAAGACCCGAUUUUUAAUUUUUUUAUAUAUAUAUACAGCAGAGGAGACGGUGCAAGGGCGCAAAAAAAAAAAGAAAAAAAAAAAGCCCACUACUUAUUGCUCCUAUAUGGGCUCUUAUCUCAACUCCUACCCUUCUUUGUCCGCCCCCUUUCCCCGCCCUCAUGGAAAUACAACAACCUCUACCGAAGUCCUGAAAUGCCUGAGAAUGUGGGCCCUCGAAUCCUACCCUCCCUUUCUCGUCCCUUUCCCCGCCCUCCCAUUUAACGGGUUAGUCCUACGACUCAGACCAGGAGAAGGAGGAAGCGGCCAAGAUCUCAAGUGGACGGGAAGACACGCUGAAGUGACUUACGAAAGAGAGAGAGAGAGAGAGAGAGAGAGAGAGAGAGAGAGAGAGAGAGAGAGAGAGAGAGAGAGAGAGAGAGAGAGAGAGAGAGAGAGCACCCACCGCUUACACACGCCACCACUCAUAUCUCUAAUAGUCUGGGAGCCGUGCCCGAAAAGCUAUUAUUGAGCGAGUGCGAUUUGGAGGCCGAAGAAAAAAAUGGGCAAACAACAAACAGACGUCGAGCCAUCAGCGCAUCAAGAGAAAAUGAAGGGCGGGGGGAGAGCAAGGGGCAGGAAAAGAGAAAAAGGGAAGAGAAUGUGAUGGAAAAAGAUUAAAGGGCAUGGCGGGAGACUGAGAGAGAAUGGGAAUGAUGAAACAAAUGAGAUGAAAGAAUGGGAUGGAAAAAUAAAAAGGAAGGGCAUGAGUGAGAUUGAGGUGGAAUGAGGAAACAAGUACUUAAGUGAAAAGGAGAAUAAAUAUGCCAGAGUAUAAUAAUGAAAUGAAAAAGAAUGAGCAGUGAAUAAAAACGCUAAAACAUGGACCAGAAAAAGGGAUAAUGAAAAAUGCCAAGAUGUAUUACGGCGGGAAGGAGGAGGAGGAGGAGGAGGAGGAGGAGGAGAGGAAACAUGCCAGACAAC